CCUACGGGUGGCAGCAGUGAGGAAUAUUGGUCAAUGGACGCAAGCCUGACCCAGCCACGCCGCGUGCAGGAAGCCGGCUCUAUGAGGUGUAAACUUCUUUUGUACGACGGUAAACGCAGGUACGCGUACCUGUAUGAAAGUCUCGUACGGAUAAAGAUCGGCUAACUCCGUGCCAGGAGCCGCGGUAAUACGGAGGAUUCAAGCGUUAUCCGGAUUUAUUGGGGUUAAAGGGUUCGUAGGCGGGCGGAUAAGUUUGAGGUUAAAUCUCGAGGCUCAACUUCGGAAUUGCCGUGGAUACUGGUGGGCUAGAGAGUAGUUGCGGUAGGCGGAAUGUCUGGUGUAGCGGUGAAAUGCUUAGAGAUCAUGCAGAACACCGAUUGCGAAGGCAGCUUACCAAGCUACAACUGACGUUGAGGAACGAAAGCGUGGGGAGCAAACAGGAUUAGAUACCCCUGUAGUC
rnacentral:rRNA from 1 species